GAUCAUGGCUCAGGAUGAACGCUAGCUACAGGCUUAACACAUGCAAGUCGAGGGGCAGCAUGGUCUUAGCUUGCUAAGGCCGAUGGCGACCGGCGCACGGGUGAGUAACACGUAUCCAACCUGCCGUCUACUCUUGACNGCCUUCUGAAAGGAAGAUUAAUACAAGAUGGCAUCAUGAGUUCACAUGUUCACAUGAUUAAAGGUAUUCCGGUAGACGAUGGGAG
rnacentral:rRNA from 1 species